UGCAUAGUUCCCAUAAACUGGCGGGUUUUGGCUUCCGAUCUGAUGUUUGUGAUCGUUGUUGAUUUUGUAGCUUAUGAUGUCGUUAGGUGGAUCAUAUCUGUUUACUAGUUUGUUUUCACCUAUGUUUGUAGCUUCUUUCGACUUUUUAUGCAAUUUGCUGUUUUGAGUUGUUCUAAAUAGAUUUAGUAACACUUUCUCAUUGUUUUGUUUCAUUACACCGUUGAACUUUGAUGGCUGCAGCCAGUAAAUUUGAAACGAAUUCUCUGUGCUCCACGCUCGUAUUCUUUGUUAUUGGGAGAGUAGAAGAUGAUGCUCUUGAGUAUCAUUCAGAGUCAACGACUAAUGACUAUUGCAGUCCUGUGUUAAGUCUAAGUAAAUAAGAGAGAAAGAGAUUGCAUACUAAAUCAGCUUUAACUAACUCUGAGUCUCUGUCUGUGUGUGUCUUAACAUAUUGUAUUUAGGAUUUGAACAGAGUGGAGCCUUCUUGGCCUAUUACUAUCCUCACAAACAGAUUAUUGAAUAGGUGUGGUUUUAUAUGGCAGGUAUUCUUCACUGGUGUUUCACAAAUUUUCUGAGGGUAAAGACAUGUUUAUCCAAAUUGUGUUCAUGAAGACAGACCUUAGUCUCUCUGUAAUAGUUACUGACGUUCUAAGAUCUUAGAUUUCUUAUCUAAGAUCCAACCAAGAGUGAAACACUGCCUUGGGAAACUAUUUUAUAUUAGCUGCAAGUGAUAUUGAGUAGUCAGCAUUUCAAUAAUCAAAGAUCACAAUGCUGAAUUCAUGGCAGGUGUAGGAGAUCUAGUUAGAAAUUUACACAAAAACAGGCUUUUUUCCCUUCGUGUAGUUUUUUCUCAUUUCAUGUUUUCUUUUAACAAAGUUUCUUAAUUUUGCCUUUUUUCCUGUCUCUUGGCUUUAGUAGAAUGUAGUUUUUUCACUUUACAAGUUUCAUUUUGCUAGCAUAGAUUCAUGAUUCAUCCUUUGAUUACUUAAAUUCAUAGUAUUUUUUAGAAAACUGCAACCCCCCCCCCCCCCCCAAAAUAUUUUAUUAUUUCNNNNNNNNNNNNNNNNNNNNNNNNNNNNNNNNNNNNNNNNNNNNNNNNNNNNNNNNNNNNNNNNNNNNNNNNUCCUGCUGCGUCCAGUGCGUGUAUGUGUUAAUGGUCGGUGGAGAUACCCUUUUGUUCUCGUAUCCAAGUUUUCCACUUGCUUGUUACAGUUGUUACCAAACCAAUAUUUAUCCAUUUAACGCUUUCUUUACGCGGAACGUUGUUGGUACCUUCGGAGGCAACUUUUGUGAUGAAAAGCAACCAAAAGUAGAGGGAGCAAGAUUAUACUAUAAUAAUGCAAAAUAUUUAAUUGAUUUACCAGCUACGAAUGCUAUUUUCACCAACUAAUUUAGCUUUUAUUCCCUUUUCGUGUAUGUUUAUUAGAUAUAUAAACAAGUUACAUAAUAAUUAGUCGACAAAAAGUUGUCCGUGCCUGCUGCCAGGUGCAAUAAUUAUGCGAUUAGUUGGUUUGACAUGUGCUCGCACCAUUAAUUCCAAUUGCAUGCUAUUAUUUACCAAUCAAAAACAAGAGAACAUGACACUGAUAAAACAAACUAAAAUAAAAUAUUCAGAAGAAGAAACUAAUCUCUAAUUAACUGGAUUUUCAAGUUAUCAUGAGUCAAAAAUACAGCAUAUAAAUAAUAUAUAUCAUAUGUUUAUUAGCCAUUAAUUGAGAAAAACACAUAAAAUACAGAUAAGCCAAGGACACUAUUGGAAUUAUCUUAUAAAACUCCAAAGCCAUUUCAAGCCCCUUUUAUUUUGUCACACCACACAAGUCGCCCUUUGGUAGAGAGAGAGAGAGAGAGAGAGGCCAACGACCACAGAUAACAAACCCAUACCGUAACACCAUGAGCCCUUCCAAGCAGCGACAUCAUCGCAGCUCCACCGGCGAUACCAAGUCAAAACCGUUAAGAUCCGCCUCCUCCUCCGCUACACCGGAAUGGAUCGCAGAAGCAAUCAACGGCGGCUCCCUCCGCCGCGUAGAUCCCGAAACAGGCACCGACGGAUGGGCUUCGCCUCCCGGCGACGUCUUCUCUCUCCGCUCCGACUCCUACUUAACUAAAAAACAAAAAUCCCCCGCCGGAGAUUACCUCCUCUCCCCCGCCGGCAUGGACUGGCUCAAAUCGACCUCGAAACUAGACAAUGUCCUCGCGCGUCCCGAUAACCGCGUGGCUCACGCGCUAAGAAAAGCUCAAUCACGAGGCCAAUCUCUCAAGUCCUUCAUCUUCGCCGUGAACCUCCAGAUCCCGGGGAAAGACCACCACAGCGCGGUGUUCUACUUCGCCGCGGAGGAGCCGAUCCCCUCAGGAUCACUCCUCCACCGGUUUAUAAACGGCGACGACUCGUUCCGGAACCAGAGGUUCAAGAUCGUGAACCGGAUCGUGAAAGGGCCAUGGGUGGUUAAAGCCGCCGUCGGGAACUACGGCGCGUGCCUCCUCGGGAAGGCGCUGACGUGCAAUUACCACAGAGGCGAUAACUACUUCGAGAUCGACGUCGAUAUAUGCAGCUCGGCGAUCGCGACGGCGAUUCUGCGGCUGGCGCUGGGGUACGUGACGAGCGUGACGAUCGACAUGGGGUUCCUGGCGGAAGCGCAGACGGAGGAGGAGCUGCCGGAGAGGUUGAUCGGAGCUGUGAGGGUUUGUCAGAUGGAAAUGUCGUCGGCGUUUGUGGUCGACGCGCCGCCGCCUCAGCAACUGGCGUUGCAGCCGUGUAGAACGCUGAGUUUGGCGAAAGUUAACCACGACUUUGUUUUCACCUAUGUUUGUAGCUUCUUUCGACUUUUUAUGCAAUUUGCUGUUUUGAGUUGUUCUAAAUAGAUUUAGUAACACUUUCUCAUUGUUUUGUUUCAUUACACCGUUGAACUUUGAUGGCUGCAGCCAGUAAAUUUGAAACGAAUUCUCUGUGCUCCACGCUCGUAUUCUUUGUUAUUGGGAGAGUAGAAGAUGAUGCUCUUGAGUAUCAUUCAGAGUCAACGACUAAUGACUAUUGCAGUCCUGUGUUAAGUCUAAGUAAAUAAGAGAGAAAGAGAUUGCAUACUAAAUCAGCUUUAACUAACUCUGAGUCUCUGUCUGUGUGUGUCUUAACAUAUUGUAUUUAGGAUUUGAACAGAGUGGAGCCUUCUUGGC
rnacentral:lncRNA from 1 species